UCUUUGUUAACCUAGAUGUCUCAAAUACUCUUCAGUAAGGGUCUAAAGUGAGAAAUGACUUAAACCAGUCAUCAAUGAAUUUCUACCCAGCUUUGUCAACCCAAAGGACAGAGUAGCAACUUAGCUGGUGCUCACAAGAGCCAAUGUUUGUUUGUUUCAGAUGGAAGAUGAAAGCAAGAGAGAAAAGAAACAGUACAGUUAGAAAAAAAGAAGUGGGGAUUCUUAAUCUUGAGGGUGUAUAAAAAUAUAAAAAUACUGUCAGAAGAGGAGGCCUUUCAAUCUGCAGCCCUGUUGAGCUUGUGUUCUGAGUUCUGCUGUUCUUUCUCCAGGUAAUAGAGGACUUGAAGGCAUCACACAGAAGGUACAACUUCAAAUCCUGUUCUAAGGCUUGGGAGCAGAUCUAUGGACCCCACUCCUGAGUCAAUUUGCCGUAAAACAUGUGAUGCUGUGCUGGAGCCUAGGCAAAGCCAGGUGAGAUGUGGUUCCUGCUAUCAAGCUGACUAACAUCUAUCAGGAAGAAUAGAUCAUGGUAACUUACAUGAUAAUAGAGUUACAUGUGGGGUCUUGAAAUAAAAGUGAUCAUCUAAAUCAGACAGGGAGGUCAGGAACGUAUCCUGGAGGAAGAGAUACUCAGGCUGAGUUUUGAGAGAAAGUAAGAGUGUAGUAGUCAGACCUGACUCAGAACACUGGCCAUUGUCACCCCUCCCUCUAAGGCAAGCUGCCUGUCACCCGUGGACCAGCUGGUGUGAAGACUGCAUUGCAGCACCUGAGCCGCCAGCCC
rnacentral:lncRNA from 1 species